rfam:Hadesarchaea archaeon YNP_45 contig_124_112, whole genome shotgun sequence.
GCGAGCUGGUGGGCGACUGUCGGGCGCAAGCCUGAGGAAAUUCCGUCCAUCGGGCAGGUCCGCGGCCCCGCAAGGGUACGGCCGAGAGGUCGGGAAGAUGGCACAGAAACGACACCCCGCGGCUCGCGCCAUGAUGCGGUGACGCUGAGGUCGUGCCGACGGGGAUGAAACGGCCAUCACGCGGGAUGCAAGGGCAAAUUGCCGCCGAUGAACGCCUGCCGGAGGCGGGUGGUAGCCCGCUUAGCUGAAUGUCGCCUGAAAACAGAAGACGGAUUACGGCCAGCACGC